rnacentral:siRNA from 1 species
GGAUCCACUCUAAGAGGCCUUGAC